UACGGAGGGUGCGAGCGUUGUCCGGAAUCACUGGGCGUAAAGGGCGCGUAGGCGGCAUGCCAAGCGUGUGGUGAAAGCCCGGGGCUCAACCCCGGGUCGGCCGUGCGGACUGGCAUGCUCGAGCACUGUAGGGGCGGGUGGAAUUCCGGGUGUAGCGGUGGAAUGCGUAGAGAUCCGGAAGAACACCGGUGGCGAAGGCGGCCCGCUGGGCAGGAAGGAAGCGUAAGCUUCCGGCUGACGCUGAGGCGCGAAAGCGUGGGGAGCAAACAGG
rnacentral:rRNA from 1 species